GACGAACGCUGGCGGCGUGCCUAAUACAUGCAAGUUGAGCGCUGAAGGUUGGUACUUGUACCAACUGGAUGAGCAGCGAACGGGUGGGUAACGCGUGGGGAAUCUGCCUUUGAGCGGGGGACAACAUUUGGAAACGAAUGCUAAUACCGCAUAAAAACUUUAAACACAAGUUUUAAGUUUGAAAGAUGCAAUUGCAUCACUCAAAGAUGAUCCCGCGUUGUAUUAGCUAGUUGGUGAGGUAAAGGCUCACCAAGGCGAUGAUACAUAGCCGACCUGAGAGGGGGAUCGGCCACAUUGGGACUGAGACACGGCCCAAACUCCUACGGGAGGCAGCAGUAGGGAAUCUUCGGCAAUGGACGAAAGUCUGACCGAGCAACGCCGCGUGAGUGAAGAAGGUUUUCGGAUCGUAAAACUCUGUUGGUAGAGAAGAACGUUGGUGAGAGUGGAAAGCUCAUCAAGUGACGGUAACUACCCAGAAAGGGACGGCUAACUACGUG
rnacentral:rRNA from 1 species